UACGAAGGGGGCUAGCGUUGUUCGGAAUCACUGGGCGUAAAGCGCACGUAGGCGGAUCUUUAAGUCAGGGGUGAAAUCCCGAGGCUCAACCUCGGAACUGCCUUUGAUACUGGGGAUCUCGAGUCCGGGAGAGGUGAGUGGAACUGCGAGUGUAGAGGUGAAAUUCGUAGAUAUUCGCAAGAACACCAGUGGCGAAGGCGGACUCACUGGCCCGAUACUGACGCUGAGGCACGAAAGCGUGGGGGAG
rnacentral:rRNA from 1 species